rnacentral:miRNA from 11 species
GGAGGAGGCAUCCAAAGGGAUCGCAUUGAUCCCAAACUCUCCAUGUCUUUGGAUCAUGCUAUCCCUUUGGAUUCCUCCUUUG